UCGAUAUUGAUAUUUAGCUACUCCAGAUCCAUCGACUCCAACAUCAGAUUAGACACUAGUAGCAAUAGAUUGGUGCUAGAGGAAGGGGUUCCAGCUCAAUUUUCUGAAAAAGGAGCACAUAGACCUACAACCAUGAGAUCUCGAGGAAGGGGAUCAAAUGCCUUGCAUCUUUUGAAUGUGACGGCAUCUUGGCCGGCUAAGGUGUAACCUUAGCUAAUCGAGAUACCUCCUUAGGUCAUAGUAUCACCCCAUCAACCCAAGAUCUAGUCUCCACCACCCCAACACACUCUAAGGGUGGCCCUCAAAUAG
rnacentral:lncRNA from 1 species